UCUAUGUAGGCCUAAACUGGAAGGUGGGUUAGGUCCGAGGGAUCCAAAGCUAUUGAAUCAGGCACUUCUAGCUAAGUCGGCUUGGAGGAUUCUUACGCAACCAAAUAUUCUUUUGAGUCAAGUUUUGAGGGCGAAAUAUUGUAAGGAUGUGCAAUUUUUAAAUGUCAAGGCUAAGAAUGGUUGUUCAUGGGGAUGGAGAAGUAUUCCAUGCGGAAGAGAUUUAUUAAAAUAGGGUAGUCGGUGGGUUGUUGGGGAUGGGAAAUUAAUUGAUCCCUUUGAAGAUCGGUGGAUUCUGGGGAUUAGAAACAAAUUGAUAGUGUUGUUUGGGGAAUAGAUUUCAAGACUUCAAGGUUGCACAUUUAAUAGAUCAUGAGAAAAAAGAAUGGAGGGAACCUCUAGUUAGAACUAUUUUUCCUACAAAUAUGGUCCAGCAUAUCCUUAAUAUUUAUAUUCCCAAGUCUCAAGUUCCUGAUAAGGUUAUUUGGGAUAAGUGUAAGAAUGGGGAAUAUAGUGUAAAAUCUGGAUAUGCCGUUGGUAGUCAAUGUUUAGACAGGACAAAUGGGAGCGGAAGAGCAAGGGUAGAUAUGCAUUGGAAAAAGUUGUGGUGUCUUAGAUUUCCAGCAAAAUGGAUAAUGUUUUUGUGGAAGUUAAGUCAUCGUAUUGUACCAGUUAAGGUAGCUAUUCAAAAAAGAGGAAUCAAGAUAGACUCUGUUUGCCUAAGGUGUAGAAAAUAUGAUGAGAUGCUGGAACAUAUGUGCUUUCAGUGCUCGUUUUCUAAACAGAUAUGGUUUGGAUCAAAAUUGGGCCUUAAUGGUGGAAGAUUGGAUUGAGUUUUGGUUUCGUAAAGCUCCAGAUGAGAGUGUUAUUAUAGAAGCAAUCAAAAUUCUGUGGGGAAUUUGGAUCCCACUUUAGCAGAAUUUCUGGUUGAUGGUGCAUGGAAACAAGAGAGGAAACAAGCAACUGCUGCGUGGGUAGUGGUCAAUAGAAAUGGGUGGCAGGUGGCAUCUAGAGCAUUUUCAUUUCAAGCAUAAUCUGCACAUCAAGCAGAAGCCUGUGGCUGUUUGGAGGUACCACAAUGGUGUGUUGCCCGAAAUAUCAUAGUGAUCAUUCAAACGGAUUGUCAAGGGUUGAUUAGUAGUUUGUGAUCAGGCUUUGCCAUUGACUGGUUCUCUAUAUCAUUAACAGAUGAUAUACGUAAUAUUUGUAAGUGUAUGGACUAUGUAUUAUGAAGGUACAUCGUACUAUUGUAAAGCCUACACAUACUGCGGCAAAAGCUACCUUGCAAGGAGGUAGCUAAUUUUGUUGUGUUGAUGGUCUUUUAAUACAUAUAUAUAUGAAGUUGGUUAUUUCUCAAAAAAAAAAAAAGUUUGGUGUUCAAAAGAACACAUAAUUUGAGCACUUCUUCAUUUCAAAGUUUUCAGAUUCAUGUUGUCAGCAACAGUAUUCAAGCAAUGAUUUUGCAAGUUUCAACACAAAAUUCAUCAGAAUUGGUUUGAAUUCAACUCAAUUACCUCAAAAAACUAAUCAGGCUUUUACUCCAUCUUCAUAUCCACUUGAUCAGCUAGACUGAACAUAAGGAACUAAAAUAAAUGGAAGAGAAACAAAAAAAAGAUUGGCAAACUCAAAAAGACUCCAAAGCAUAUACUGAACUUGGUUAUGCCAUACAAGUCUCCAAAGUUUCAAUAUCUCAAGGUAGUUCACAACAUUCCGGUAACCUUCAAAAGUAUGUUUAGAUCCCAAAGUACAACAAAGAAAAAA